UUGGUGACCAGCGGAGGGAUCAUUACCGAGUUUACAACUCCCAAACCCAAUGUGAACGUUACCAAACUGUUGCCUCGGCGGGGUCACGCCCCGGGUGCGUCGCAGCCCCGGAACCAGGCGCCCGCCGGAGGAACCAACCAAACUCUUUCUGUAGUCCCCUCGCGGACGUAUUUCUUUACAGCUCUGAGCAAAAAUUCAAAAUGAAUCAAAACUUUCAACAACGGAUCUCUUGGUUCUGGCAUCGAUGAAGAACGCAGCGAAAUGCGAUAAGUAAUGUGAAUUGCAGAAUUCAGUGAAUCAUCGAAUCUUUGAACGCACAUUGCGCCCGCCAGUAUUCUGGCGGGCAUGCCUGUCCGAGCGUCAUUUCAACCCUCGAACCCCUCCGGGGGAUCGGCGUUGGGGAUCGGGACCCCUCACACGGGUGCCGGCCCCUAAAUACAGUGGCGGUCUCGCCGCAGCCUCUCCUGCGCAGUAGUUUGCACAACUCGCACCGGGAGCGCGGCGCGUCCACGUCCGUAAAACACCCAACUUUCUGAAAUGUUGACCUCGGAUCAGGUAGGAAUACCCGCUGAACUUAAGCAUAUCAAUAA
rnacentral:rRNA from 1 species